GGCUACCUAGCGCAAUGGUAGCGCGUUUGGCUUCGAUUGCUUCACGUCCACCCUACCAAAAGGUUGCAGGUUCGAGUCCUGCGGUGGUCA